GGGAUGGCUUAUAACCUGCUGC
rnacentral:siRNA from 1 species